GCACUUUCUUCAGCAGCACAUAGACUAAAAUUGGAAUGAUAUAGAAAAGAUUAGCAUGGCCCUGCACAAGGAUGACACGCCAGUUCAUGAAGCAUUCUAUAUUUUU